rnacentral:rRNA from 1 species
UAAGCGGAGGAAAAGAAACUAACAAGGAUUCCCCUAGUAACUGCGAGUGAAGCGGGAAAAGCUCAAAUUUAAAAUCUGGUGGCCCCUGGUCAUCCGAGUUGUAAUUUAGAGAAGCGUCUUCCGCGCUGGACCGUGCACAAGUCUCCUGGAAUGGAGCGUCAUAGAGGGUGAGAAUCCCGUCUUUGGCACGGAUCCCGGGGCUUUUGUGAUGCGCUCUCGAAGAGUCGAGUUGUUUGGGAAUGCAGCUCAAAAUGGGUGGUGAACUCCAUCUAAAGCUAAAUAUUGGCGAGAGACCGAUAGCGAACAAGUACCGUGAGGGAAAGAUGAAAAGCACUUUGGAAAGAGAGUGAAACAGUACGUGAAAUUGUUGAAAGGGAAACGCUUGAAGUCAGUCGCGUCGUCCGAGACUCAGCCUCGCCUCGGCUUGGUGUACUUCUCGACCGACGGGUCAGCAUCGAUUUCGCCCCUUGGAUAAUGGCGUGGGAAAUGUGGCACCUUUGCGGGUGCGUUAUAGUCCCUCGUCGCAUGCAAGGGUCGGGAUUGAGGAACUCAGCACGCGCCUUUCGGCGUCGGGGUUUUUGCCCACGAUACGUGCUUAGGAUGUUGCGUAAUGGCUUUAAACGACC